GAUGAACGCUAGCGAUAGGCUUAACACAUGCAAGUCGAGGGGCAGCACAAGGUAGCUUGCUAUCUGGGUGGCGACCGGCGCACGGGUGCGUAACGCGUAUGCAACUUGCCCUAUACAGGAGGAUAACCCGUCGAAAGACGGACUAAUACUGCGUAUGCUCACAACUUGGCAUCAAGUGGUGAGGAAAGAAAUUCGGUAUAGGAUAGGCAUGCGUCCCAUUAGCUUGUUGGUGAGGUAACGGCUCACCAAGGCAACGAUGGGUAGGGGAACUGAGAGGUUUAUCCCCCACACUGGUACUGAGACACGGACCAGACUCCUACGGGAGGCAGCAGUGAGGAAUAUUGGUCAAUGGGCGCGAGCCUGAACCAGCCAAGUCGCGUGAAGGAGGACUGUCUUAUGGAUUGUAAACUUCUUUUAUACGGGAAUAACAAGAGUCACGGGUGACUCCCUGCAUGUACCGUAUGAAUAAGCAUCGGCUAACUCCGUG
rnacentral:rRNA from 1 species